rnacentral:piRNA from 1 species
AUUCAGGCAGCGAGCGCAGAGGCGG